rnacentral:lncRNA from 1 species
UCGUUUCCUUAUAUAUAGAGCAACCCCUAACCAAAUUAGACCAAACCCUAAAUUCGAGGAGAUUUGUCCCUCGCCGCCGCCACUCUCUCCAAAAUCCCACCUCGGGAUCCUCCCAGAUCCCCUUCUCCUCGGUUUCCUCCUCUACCCAAUCCCGAAGGCACUGCGGUCUCCUCUGCUUCCCUCGUCCUUGUUUGAUCCCAGGGGCAGCCACCGCAUCGCUGUUCCCCUGCCUCGGCCUCGCGAUCCCGCGCCUCCCUCCUACAGCCCAUGCAAGUCACCAGGAGGUGGGUUCCCGUGCUGCACAGGAGCUCCUCGUCGCCCGGAUCCGUUCCCCAGGCCGCCGGACCUUCCUGCAAGCGUCCUCGCCGGUGACCAGCAGGUCCCAACGCCACCCUUUUUUUCUUUUCCUGUCUCCUCUGUUACCUGCUCUCGAUCCCCCUCUGUCUCAUGUCCCUGUCUCUCUUCCCGCCAUGGACAGGUACCAACAAACCGUCAGCCACCAGGAGCUCAAGACGCCGCUACUCCUCGCCGGACCGCUGCCUCCGGCUACCUCCACCUCGCCGGUGAGGCCUCGCCGCCGUGCGCCCCUGAUUUUCUCUCUCUCUCUCUCUCUCUCUUUGGCCGCUCUGACCUCUCAUGAUCUCCCCCUUUUCUCUUUGAACAGAAGUAGGAGCUCCCAUGGCCGCCGCCGCCCUGGCUGCCCCAUAGGAGUUCUCUGCCGCCGGAUCGGGUCGCCUCCACCCGGUUCCUCUCGCGCCGACCGCCCGCGCCGGAGUCCUGCGCCAAGCCGCCGCCGUUGCCUCUGUUUCCCGCCGCUGCACCAUGCUGCAACGAACGCCUGCUCGAUCCAACCGCCCCGCGUUGACCGAUCCACUGGCCUGCGCUAGCCCAGCGAGACCUCCUGCAGCCCAGCACCACCAACCGGGCCUUGGCCCAUGGGUGAGCUGCCCCACCUUCUUGUUGGGCUCGUGAUUCAGAUUCGGCCUGACUAAUGUUUUUUUUCGUGCUGCGAUUUUAACAUUAUCCAGUGUAUUUCAGUUUUGCAGAAAACCCCUCAUAUAUCAUACAUUUAAUAACUCAUAAACCAUGCAUCGGUUUAAAAUGAUAUUAACAUGUAAAAUGCUUAGAAUUUUGUGUAGAUUAAUAAUAUUCCACUUUCAUCCAUGUUUAAAAUGUUUAAAAUGUUGUUUGUUUAAAUUUGCUCAAAUGCCAUGCUAAAAUGCUUUAUUUCAUAACUAAAUAACCGUAACUCUGUUUUAAAUAAACUUUAUAUGCAAAUGGGGUGGAAAAAUGCCUAGUUUAACAUGGUCUAGUUUAUUUUCCUGUUUAACAACCUUAAAAUAUGGUUUAGGGCAGAACAGUACCUAAUCGAAAAUAUGCAUAUGGGGAUUUUCUGAAAUUGUUGUUUGUUGUUCCGGCCCCAUUUAAACUUGCCUAGAUAGUUAGUUUACUUAUGUUUCAUCUCUUGCCAUGUUUAACAACAUUUAAUAUUGUUGUGUACCUAAACAAGAGUGAACUAAAUAACUCGAUGUGGUGUUUUGUCAAUAUGCAACUCAUUGCAUAUUGAGCUCCACUUAAUUUGUAGUAUUGUUUGUUGCAUAAGGCCAUGCCAUGCCUCAUUAAACCGGACAUGCAUCAUACUUGAUUGUGCAUCAUGCCAUGAUUAUGCUUGUGUGUUUACCAUGUUGCUUGCUUCUUUCCGGUUUGCUUCUCUUGUUAGCUUCGGUUUCGUUCCGGAGUUGUGAGGAUUCGUUCGACUACGUCCGUUUGUCUUCUUCGUGGACUCGUUCUUCUUCCUUGCAGGAUCUCAGGCAAGAUGACCAUUACCCUCGAUAUCACUUCUAUCUUUGCUUGCUAGUUGCUUCAUUCUAUCGCUAUGAUGCGCUACCUAUCACUUGUUUACCAUGCCUCCCAUAUUGUCAUGUCAGCCUCUAACCUUUUCACCCUUCCUAGCAAACCAUUGUUUGGCUAUGUUACCGCUUUGCUCAGCCCCUCUUAUAGCGUUGUUAGUUGUAGGUGAAGUUGAAGAUUGCUCCAUGAUGGACAGGAUUAUGUUGGGAUAGCACAAUAUCUCUCAUUUAAUUAAUGCAUCUAUAUACUUGGUAAAGGGUGGAAGACUCGGCCUUAUGCCUGGUGUUUUGUUCCACUCUUGCCGCCUUAGUUUCCGUCAUAUCGGUAUUAUGUUCCCGGAUUUUGCGUUCCUUACACGGUUGGGUGAUUUAUGGGACCCCCUUGACAGUUUGCUUUGAAUAAAACUCCUCCAGCAAGGCCCAACAUUGGUUUUAACAUUUGCCACCUAAGCCUUUUUCCCUUGGGUUCUGCAGACUCAAGGGUCAUCUUUAUUUACCCCCCGGGCCAGUGCUCCUCCGAGUGUUGGUCCAAACUAGAGCACCGUGCGGGACCAUUCCUUGGCAACUUGGAUUACGUCAGUUCCUAUACGCUUCACUUAUCCGGUGUGCCUUGAGAACGAGAUAUGUGCAGCUCCUAUCAGGAUUUGUCGGCACAACUGGGCGGCUUUGCUGGUCUUGUUUUACCAUUGUCGAAAUGUCUUGUAAACCGGGAUUCCGAGUCUGAUCGGGUCUUCCUGGGAGAAGGUAUAUCCUUCGUUGAUCGCAAGAGCUUAUCAUGGGCUAAGUUGGGACACCCCUGCAGGGUAUAAACUUUCGAAAGUCGUGCCUGCGUUUAUAGGCAGAUGGGAAUUUGUUAAUGUCCGGUUGUUAGGACCCCGACUCGAUGCCACAUCGAUCUAGCAUGUAACACCUCAUAUCACUUUGCGGCCUCACGCACGGUUUUCCCACGGGUGUCCUCUUACCUUUGCCCGGGACCGUUUGCGCCUUUUGGCACACGUAUAUGAUAGUGUCGCUAGCAUCCAUAUGGUAAGGAGCCCGGGCUGACAUGGCUAGUCGUAAACCCAAAGUGGCACAGACUUACAGGGACAGGCAUCCAUGACCCAGCAUCGAACGUGUCGGUCAUCAGCAAGUGAAUCCAGGCUGUAGCACUGGGCUAGCAGGACUCCGGUAAAUCGGGCUGUAGCGGGCUAACAGGACUCCGGUAUCCAUCGUGUGACAUUUCCCCGAAGGGACAGAAACAGGAACAAAGAAGGACACAUGCCGGCCAGCCUAAGUGUUCCGGAGCAGUAGCAAGCUACCAAGGCUCAGUGGAGACACUAGGAGACAUUUCCCAGUAAGAGAGGCUACUAAGAAUAAACAACUAGAUAGUCAGAUCCCACACAUACCAAGCAUUUCAAUCAUACACACAAUAUGCUCGAUAUGUGCAAAUACAACAAGGCAUCACAACAUGACUCUACGACACCAGUACUUUAUUUAAGGCUCAGAGAGCCAUACAUAUCAUACACACAAGUACGGGUCACACGACCCAGCAUUCAAGUCAUACAGACAUACAAGCCAACAGCGGAAGUAACUUGUCUGGGUACAGACAACUAGUAAAAUAAAAGAGGCUUGGGAAAGCCUGGCUAUACUACGUGGUCCUUCACAAGCUCAGGAUCACCACCUGGGCCUCGGUAUACUCAUCGAUGUCAACUUCUACGAAGAACCCAUCAGAAGGGGUUGCAGCGUCUUCUGAAAAAUGUAAAUUAAAGCAACAUGAGUACAAAGGUACUCAGCAAGACUUACAUCAGAUCCUACAUACAUGCACAUUAUCAAGAAGGGUUGGUGGGGUUAUUGCAGCAAGCCAGCUUUGACUCUUGGCUAAGCUAUCCUACGAUACACCAACUUGAAAUGGUUUUGCGCACACGAGUACACUACUCACCACUUCAAUACACCACCGAGGAUCCACCUCCGUCAUCCUACGGAAGAACCAUCCUUGGCACUCACGCUUAUCUUGAGAUUUUUAGUAGUAUCCAUUUACUUGUCUAUGAACUGUAUAGGAAACCAAGUAGUCCUUUACCGCGGACGCGGCUAUUCGAAUAGAUAAUGUUAACCCUGCAGGGGUGUACUUCUUCAUACACGCUCUCACCACUUACCGCCGUUUACACGACAUGUACUCGGCAACCUUCAAGCGGAAGCCCAACGUGGGUGUCGGCCACGACCUACCUAAACACCUAAUUCUCUAGUCCAGGUUUAUCGCCUAUCCAGGUUCCAUCCGCAGGGAGUCCGGCCGAGGUUUCCACAUACGGCCCCGAACGAUGUGUACAGGGUUCCCGAGAUACCUAACGGGUAUCCGGUACACCGUGCCACAUACCUACCGCAUCACAGCCCACCGCUAUGGUCAGCGCUGUCCACGGCCUCCAGUAGGCUACAAACACCAGAAAUUACUUGCAACUCCUGGACAGAGGACUAGGGUGAAUAAGAAGCCGAGAGGGUCCAUUGGUUUCAGGCCCAAUGCAUGGUAGUAGAUGAUUCUUAAAUCACACAUACAGAUCUCAGUGCUUAAGGACGGCUUCAAUGAAACAACCCACCAUGUACUCCUACAUGGCCUUUCAUCGAUACCUUUACCAAAUCGUGUUCACCACAUCACUCUCAUUACCGGCAUGAUCAUUUCACUCUAGCCCAUCACCCAGAUGAACCAGACCUGACUCGACUCUAAGCAUAGCAGGCAUAGCAAGGUAGGAACAACACAUACAUAUGGCUCAAUCAACUCCUACACAUGCUAGUGGGUUUCAUCUAGUUACUGUGGCAAUGACAGGUCAUGCAGAGGAAAUGGGUUCAACUACCGUAGCACACAGCAGUUUGGAACGCGUUGUCUUAAUGCAGUAAAAGAGAGCAGAAGCGAGAACAUGGGAUUGUAUCGAUAUGAUCAAAUGGUUGGUUGCUUGCCUGAUGGGUCGAUGCACUGAUAUUGUUCUUCGUUGGGGUAAUCACGAUACUCCUCAAGGGCAGGACCUGCCGCAGAGAGCACCGAUACACAACAUCACCAAACAAUAUGCAGUAAUAUGAUGCAUGCAUGAAACAUGGCAAUAUGAGUGUGUUGGGCUAAUGCAACUAAAACCAGAUGGGUUUGAACCAUUUUGAAUCAAAGAUUCAAGUUUCAAACUCAUACAUGGCCCUUAUAAGGUGCUUUAACUUGUUCUGCAAUAAACAGUAGGUUAGCUUGUUUAAACAUGCAUGAAACUAGUACAGAUGGAUAGAUUGGAUUUUUCUGAUCAUUUUUCAUAUAUAACACUUUGCAUUUGGAGUUAUGGUUGAUUUACUAUGAAUUUUUGAAGUUUGGGGGAUUUUCUGGAAUUUAUAAAUCAUUCUAGAUUUAUUUUAAUUCCAGAAAAGGAUUACUGCGUCAGCAUGAUGUCAUGCUGACCUCAGCAGGUCAAUAGGCCGGUCCAGGUCAAACUGACCAGUGGGUCCCGCAUGUCAGCACAAUUAGUUUAGCUAAAAAUUAAUUAGAACUAAACCGGAUUAGUUAACAGGGCUGGGCCCCACCUGUCAUUGACUCAACAGAGUCAACCAGGGCCCACCCGUGGUCAAAGUCAAGUCGGCUGCACCGGCGUUUAGCCGCCGGCGAGCCCGACGCGGCGGCGGAAGUGCUUUGGGCCGUUCCGGCCACCAAAUGGGUCGCGGAAGGCAUCUAAGUGGAGCUGGGGACAAACCGCAGCUCUUGGUGGGGUCGGGGUGGCCAGAAUCGGCGCCGACGAUGACCUAGGUGGCCGCCGGAGUUCGGGUGGAGGCGAACUCGGGGCCAGGGUGUGUGGUGAGGUGUGGGGAGUGUAUGGUUAGACCCUACGCGACGUGGUGAGUGCGAUGGACACUGAGAGGUGACCGGAGGAUGGCCGGGAGCACGUCGGCGACGAUCUCCGCGGUGGUGCGUGCGGGUGAUCUUCGUGCAGUUGCUACACAGCUCGGGGGCGAGAGAGAAAGGGAAGGGGAGGUAGCUAGGCUCACAGGGCACUCGUGGAGGCAACUGGCGGGGUCGGGGAUGGACUGAUGCGGCGACGGCGUUGCAGGGGAUCUCCGGCGACGGCGGACUCGGGUAGAGUCGGUGCGGUGGACUCGGGCCACACGAGCACGCGGGGCUCGGCUAGCUCGACGAAGAGGAUGGCGGCGGAGCUCCUAGACACGGCGAGACGGAGCACGGACGGCGGGGAGCGCGGCUACGGCGAUGGGGCGGCGGCGGUGGCGUCGGCCAUGGCUGGGGAGCACGAGGGAGAGGAGCUGGGGAGGAGAGGAGAUGUCUGAGGGGUUCGGGGGAGAGGGGGGGAGCGAUCUCCAUCAUCAGCUGGACGAGGGGAGCGGCGAGGCGGCGACCAGGUGUGUGGCACCCAUGCGGUGCUCGCCGCCGAGCACCUGCCUGCCUGCCUGGCCGAGCCAAGCAGCUCGCUGGCGCGGCAGCUGGGCUGGGCCGGCAGGUGGGCCGGUUAGUAGGCGCUAGGUAAGGUUUUCUUCCUAUUUUCCUGUUUCUGCUUUAUUCUGUAAGUUUGUGGACUUAUUAAAAAUACCUAGACAACUCCUAAAUUCCCCAAACUGCUCCUGGUCCUUAGUUGGAAUAUUUACAGCAUGGAACAUUUUAGUUUGGAAAUAUUUGAGCAUUCAAAAUAAUUUUAUAUAAUUUAAAUGCCCAAACUCAAAUACUUAUGAGUUAAUUCAAAGACCUUAGGAUGACCUAGAAAACUAUGCAUCACUUUUGGCAGAGGUUCUGAACCAAGACAAAAAUGAUGGACAUUUUGGAAGGGCAUUUCAGGUUCAUUGAAAAUAUUUUUAGUAAACCCUAGUUGGAUUCAGAGGGGGCUGGGGGUUCUGUCAUCCCCAUUUCAAGUUUCUGAUGAAAGAAUAGACAUGAUGCAACACUCUAAUGCAUGAACUAGCUAGGGUGUGACAACUCACCCCCACUCAAAAGAAUCUCGUCCCGAGAUUUAGGUUCCUCCGGAAAGAAGGCGGGGUACUCAAGUCGAAGACGAUCCUCCCUUUCCCAAGUUGCUUCCUUCUCAGAAUGGUGCGACCAUUGAACCUUGAGAAACUUGAUAUUAUGACGUUGAGUGGUACGCUCGGCUUGAUCGAGGAUACGAACGGGGUACUCUCGAUACGUGAGGUUAUCUUGAAGAUCAAGCGUUUCGUGGUCCACUGCACGGAUAGGAUCCGAGAAGCAACGCCUGAGUUGAGAAACGUGGAAGACAUCAUGGACUCUGGAAAGAUGCGGAGGUAAUUCCAAUUGGUAGGCAACUUCUCCUCGUUUAGCGAGAAUGCGAAAGGGUCCAAUGUAGCGAGGAGCCAAUUUGCCUUUGAUACCGAAGCGAUGGGUUCCCUUCAGAGGAGUAACCCGAAGGUAAGCCUUCUCGUCAACCUCAAAGGUCAUAGCCUUAUGUUUUCGGUCGUAUUGACUCUUUUGACGAGAUUGGGCUGUUUUCAACUUUUCAUGAACAAUGCGAACUUGCUCUUCUGCUUCCUGGAUCAUGUCUGGGCCAAAGAAUUGUCUUUCCCCGGUUUCUGACCAGUUAAGAGGCGUUCGACACCUUCGUCCAUAGAGAACUUCAAAAGGGGCUUUACCCAAGCUAGAUUGAUAGCUGUUGUUAUAAGCAAAUUCGGCAAAUGGAAGGCAUUUCUCCCAAUCCAUUCCGAAUGAGAUAACCGAAGCUCGAAGCAUGUCUUCUAGAAUCUGGUUGACACGUUCUACUUGACCACUUGAUUGAGGGUGAAAAGCAGUGCUAAAAGAAAGGCGGGUUCCCAUAGCAUUUUGGAAACUUUCCCAAAAUAGAGAGGUGAAGAGACUUCCUCGAUCGGAGUUAAUUUCCAGUGGAACACCAUGGAGAGACAUUAUUCGGAAGAUGUACAAGUCUACUAAUUGACUAGCGGUUAUACUCUCGCGAACAGGUAAGAAAUGGGCUACUUUGGAAAGACGAUCGACAACGACGAAGAUAGCGUUAUUCCCUCUCUUGGUCCUGGGAAAACCGGUAAUGAAAUCCAUACCAAUUUUAUCCCAUUUCCAUUCGGGAAUAGCUAAGGGUUGAAGGGUGCCAGUAGGCCGCUGAUGCUCUGCUUUUACACGGCGACAGACGUCGCAGCUAGCAACAAACUGAGCAAUGUCUCUCUUCAUCCUAGUCCACCAGAACCUCUGGCGUAGGUCCUGAUACAUCUUAGUACUACCGGGAUGAAUGGUGAGAGGAGAUUCAUGAGCUUCCUUUAGGAUCAAUAGCCUCAGGUUUCGCACUUUGGGAACCACUAGACGGUUCCCGAAGUAUAUGACUCCUUGAUCAUCAAUGGAGAAACAAUUCGCAACUCCUUUCUUGAUGUUUCUUUUGAUGCGGGAAAUCCUCGGAUCUACCUUCUGUGCUUUGAUGAUCUGAUCCGUAAGGGUAGGUUUCGCCACCAAGGUGGAAAGGAAUCCUUGAGGAACAAUGUGAAGGUUAAGCUUCCGAAAUUCCUCAUGGAGAAGCGGUUGACUUUGUUGUAACAUCAGAUUGUUACAAUAAGAUUUACGACUUAGUGCAUCAGCCAUGACGUUGGCCUUUCCUGGGGUGUAAGUUAUUCCUAAGUCGAAAUCUAUGAUCAACUCAACCCAACGUCUUUGCCUGAGAUUCAAAUCCGGUUGGGUGAAGAUGUACUUCAGACUUUGGUGAUCGGUGAAGAUUUCGCAACAAUUACCGAGGAGGUAAUGUCGCCAGGUUUUAAGUGCAUAGACUAUAGCUACAAGCUCUAGAUCAUGAGUAGGAUAAUUCUCCUCAUGUGGGUGUAAUUGCCGUGAAGCAUAAGCAAUUACGUGACGAUCUUGCAUUCUAGUCCUUGUCGCGAGGCGUCGCAAUAGAUAACAAAGUCCUUAGAGAAAUCUGGUGGUACCAAUACGGGAGCAGAUGUCAGGCGUCUUUUCAGUUCCUGAAAGCUGUGCUCACAUUGUGGAGUCCACUCGAACUUUUUAUCUUUCUUGAGGAGUUCAGUUAGAGGUUUGGCAACUUUGGAGAAGUUCUCGACAAAGCGGCGACAAUAGCUCGCUAAGCCAAGGAAACUCCGAACUUGCUUGACCAAUUCAGGUGGAGUCCAAUUAAGGACGGCUCGAACUCGCUCGGGGUUAAUAGCAAUACCUUUACCAAAAAUUACAUGUCCUAGAUAGGUCACUUCUGGCAACCAAAAUUCACAUUUAGAGAACUUGGCAUAAAGGCGAUGCUCUCGAAGUUUCAUCAACACUAGCCUUAGAUGUUCGGCAUGUUCUUCCUCGUUCUUGGAGUAGAUGAGUAUAUCAUUGAGGUAGACCACGACGAAUUUAUCCAAAUACUCCAUGAAGAUUGAGUUCAUUAACCGAGAAAAGGUGGCUGGGGCGUUGGUUAGACCGAAGGACAUGACGGUGUACUCGUAUUGGCCAUAACGAGUAACAAAGGCCGUUUUAGGAAUGUCCCCGUUCCGGAUUUUGAUUUGAUGGUAGCCUAAUCUCAAAUCCAUUUUAGAGAAGACUGAGGAUCCAGCGAGCUGAUCAUACAGGUCGUUGAUCCUGGGGAGUGGAUACUUGUUCUUGAUUGUGACGAGGUUGACUGGUCGAUAAUCUACAACCAUCCGGUCCGUACCAUCCUUCUUCUUGACGAAGAGGACGGGGCAAGCCCAUGGAGACGAACUAGGUCGGAUGAAACCCUUUUUCAAGGACUCAUCGAGUUGUUUCUUAAGCUCGGCUAGUUCUAGUGGUGCCAUCUUAUAGGGUCUUCUAGCAAUCGGGACAGUUCCUGGAAUGAGAUCUAUCACGAACUCAACAUCUCUGUCAGGUGGAACACCUGGCAAUUCCUCUGGGAAGACAUCUGAGAAGUCACGGACUACCGGAAUGUCUUCAAGGUCUGGCAACGGACUGGCAUUAAGAGAAUAUAGCUGUCGCUUAGCUACUCGGGUCAAGACAUUGACUAUCUUUCCCGAAGGAUGUGUGAGUUGAACAGUCCUAGAGAAACAAUCAAUUUUAGCAUGAUGGGCUGACAUCCAGUCCAUGCCCAAAAUGAUAUUAAUAUCCGAAGAUUUGAGAGCUAUCAAAGAUGCGAGAAAAACAAGUCUGUCGACUUGAAUUUCAUUCCCAUGGCUUACUCUAGAAGUUUGCCAUUUGGAUCCCGGGGUUUGAAUUACCAUAGAGGUGGGCAUCUCACAGAAUGUGGUGUUAUGCAGACGAGCAUAGCUCUCGGAUAUAAAUGAAUGAGAUGCUCCUGUAUCGAAAAGAACAGAUGCCAGGUGGCAAUUAACAAGGAGCGUACCAAGAACGACGUUGGGAUCCUCUUGAGCUUCUUCGGCAGAGAUACAGUUGACAUGGCCACGUGCAGCGGUGGCCGGCUUGGCGUAGAACGCUUUCCCUGUCGACUUGCCACGGCCAACAGCUUUUCCAGAUUGGUUGGGGUUGGUCUGGGGACACUCGCGCAGAUAGUGGCCCGGUUCCCCACAUUUAAAGCAAGUCACAGAGCUGGUACGUGGAGGAGCAUUGUUGGUUGGACCACCAUAGGGCUUGGCUGGUGUAAACUAUUGGGCGGGGCGAGGCAAUUGAAAGGAUGGCCUCGGUGUGAACCUGGGUGGCAGGGCAGUGUUAGGCACCCACACGCGGCGCUUCUGAGGACCAGCACCGGAUGAAGAACCCAUGUCACGGCCAUGCUUGCGUGUUGCUUCAAAAUCGGUCUGACCAGACUCAGCACUGAUGGCUUUGUUAACAAGCUUCUGAAAAGAUGUGCACUCAUGCAGACGGAGAUCGCGGCGAAGCUCAGGGCUAAGUCCCUUACGGAACCUUGCUUGCUUCUUGGCAUCAGUAGAGACUUCCUCAGUUGCAUAUCGUGCAACGUUACCGAACUCCCUGUUGUAAGCAUCCAUAGAAAGUCGACCUUGAGUGAAACUGCAGAACUCCUCACGUUUACGGUCCAUGAGACCCUCCGGAAUGUGAUGAUCAUGGAAAGCCUCGCUGAAUUCAGCCCAAGUAGUGACAUGGCCCGCUGGGCGCAUAGCUCCAUAGUUCUCCCACCAUAGACUGGCGGGGCCUUCAAGAUGAUAUGCAGCAAAGGUGACCUUAUCAGCCUCAGCUACUAGCGCAGAACGCAGUUUGUGAGUAAUACUGCGAAGCCAGUCAUCGGCGUCAAGAGGCUCGACGGAGUGGUGGAAAGUGGGUGGAUGUAACUUGAUGAAAUCACUGAGUGACACCAAGUUAUUCCUCUGAUGGUGUGUUGUGUUUUGCUCGAUGCGCUCCAACAAACGGUUAGUCUCCCGCUUGUUUCUCUCGACUUCCAGCAUAACUUCGGCCAGAGAGGGAGGGUGAGGCAGAUUUGUUCCCCCAACUCUGCUGCCUUCGGCCUGCUCUGGGGGAGUAGGGUUGGUGCGGGUGUUAACCAUCCUAGGAAAACAAAGCAAUGGUUUAGUCCAGGAUGAUAGGAUUUUGACAUAGAAAUGUAGAAUGUAAUGGAUAACUUGGAAUGUAAGAUGAUCAUCCGUAUGACAUGGUAGAUACAGAAACUACUUCUUUUAUUCCAUCGUCAUACACACCAUACAAGGUUUAGUAUAGAACCAAACAAAGUACUGCUAUGGUGAAAUUAGGAUUACAUCUCAUCGGAGGCAUUCCGAGCUCCUAUACAUUUUUUUUCUACAUCUUCGGAAGGCGGUACAAACUAAGGCAUAUCCCACGAGUCACGCAGGACGGUGGACGAUAUAGCUAGUACGACACUAGUGAUACUACUACUAACUCAGACAGCUCCGUAGUAGUCUUCAUAGAAGUCACCUCCAUAGCCUGGAAGCUCAACGUGAUCAUCCGGAAAUAGUCGGUCCCGUGGAGCUUGUGGACCAUAGGGGCUAGGAUGAGGUCUUGGGCCAAUAAACGGUGGCCUACGGGGACCACGAGGUCGGGUGAUGCCUCCUACAUCAUGCCAAUCCAUCACGUCUGGCAGAGCAGAUCUCACAGGAUAGAGAUCUCGCAUAUCCAUAUAUCCAGCUUGCACAGUCGGUGCAAACCGAGUCAAAGUGGCCCAAUGAUCAGCAUGGGUAUUGAAAAGCUCUAACCUCAAGGCCCGAUUUUCACGGUCCUUGUCUUCAAGCAACUGUGCAGUGGUGUGGGUCCGUGAAUCCUCCUGGGUGGAGUCAGCAUAGAUAGCCUGGAGAUACCCUUGUGCUCCUGUAAGUGAUGCUGGCAUAUACCGGAAAUCAGAGUCCCGAAAUAGGCCAGUCCUGACUCGCAUGAUGGUCAUCAUAGAGUAGGCAGCAUCCUGCACAGCCAUCUCAAUAGUAACCCCGAGUCCAUAGGAGCAGUGAAGGGGCUCGGUAGAUCCAGGAUAAGAUGGAAAUAUCCUGACAGUGCAAAGAUAUUGACUUUGAUUAAAGUCUCGGAAUUGCUCUUCAACCGUGUACUCAGGAUACCAACGGUAUCCAGCCUCGGUCAUUACCCUGACCAACAUAGCAGUAUGGCCGGGUACAUCUAGACAUCGAGUCAAACGAACCACUUGAUUCUGAGGACGGGACGCCAUCUGGAACAUGAUAAACACAAGACAUUAAAAUUCCUAGCAAAAAUUGGAUAGCAUAACGGCUGUAAAUGCUCAAAAAGGAUUUUGAGGCAUUUGACAAAGAAUUGCAUAGACACUCAACAACAUCAUAUCAAAGUUCUGGGUCCAUCUUAGCAACAUAAUGGGAUAGUAGAACUGAACUAGGCUUGUAUGCAUCAAACCUAUAAGGUACUACUGAUUAGUAACACGUGAAGUUGAUAGAGAGGAGAGAUCCUAGUCCUUAACCCCCGGUAGAAGAAUAGACUGACUCAGAUCAGAAUGUCAUGAGAUAGAGGAGUAAAAAGAGCCUUACGUUCCAUCCCACAAUCAAUUCCCCUAUAUAUAACUAAAGAAUUUCUAGACUCAACAUCGACCAGUUUGGCUUGGAGAACCUACAGGCAGUCCGGCUCUGAUGCCAACGCUGUCAGGACCCCGACUCGAUGCCACAUCGAUCUAGCAUGUGACACCUCAUAUCACUUUGCGGCCUCACGCACGGUUUUCCCACGGGUGUCGUCUUACCUUUGCCCGGGACCGUUUGCACCUUUUGGCACACGUAUAUGAUAGUGUCGCUAGCAUCCAUAUGGUAAGGAUCCCGGGCUGACAUGGCUAGUCGUAAACCCAAAGUGGCACAGACUUACAGGGACAGGCAUCCAUGACCCAGCAUCGAACGUGUCGGUCAUCAGCAAGUGAAUCCGGGCUGUAGCACUGGGCUGGUAGGACUCUGGUAAACCGGGUUGUAGCGGGCUAACAGGACUCCGGUAUCCAUCGCGUGACAUUUCCCCGAAGGGACAGACACAGGAACGAAGAAGGACACAUGCCGGCCAGCCUAAGUGUUCCGGAGCAGUAGCAAGCUACCAAGGCUCAGUGGAGACACUAGGAGACAUUUCCCAGUAAGAGAGGCUACUAAGAAUAAACAACUAGAUAGUCAGAUCCCACACAUACCAAGCAUUUCAAUCAUACACACAAUAUGCUCGAUAUGUGCAAAUACAACAAGGCAUCACAACAUGACUCUACGACACCAGUACUUUAUUUAAGGCUCAGAGAGCCAUACAUAUCAUACACACAAGUACAGGUCACACGACCUAGCAUUCAAGUCAUACAGACAUAGAAGCCAACAGCGGAAGUAACUUGUCUGGGUACAGACAACUAGUAAAAUAAAAGAGGCUUGGGAAAGCCUGGCUAUACUACGUGGUCCUUCACAAGCUCAGGAUCACCACCUGGGCCUCGGUCUACUCAUCGAUGUCAACGUCUACGAAGAACCCAUCAGAAGGGGUUGCAGCGUCUUCUGAAAAAUGUAAAUUAAAGCAACAUGAGUACAAAGGUACUCAGCAAGACUUACAUCAGAUCCUACAUACAUGCACAUUAUCAAGAAGGGUUGGUGGGGUUAUUGCAGCAAGCCAGCUUUGACUCUUGGCUAAGCUAUCCUACGAUACACCAACUUGAAAUGGCUUUGCGCACACGAGUCCACUACUCACCACUUCAAUACACCACCGAGGAUCCACCUCCGUCAUCCUACGGAAGAACCAUCCUCGGCACUCACGCUUAUCUUGAGAUUUUUAGUAGUAUCCAUUUACUUGUCUAUGAACUGUAUAGGCAACCAAGUAGUCCUUUACCGCGGACGCGGCUAUUCGAAUAGAUAAUGUUAACCCUGCAGGGGUGUACUUCUUCAUACACGCUCUCACCACUUACCGCCGUUUACACAACAUGUACUCGGCAACCUUCAAGCGGAAGCCCAACGUGGGUGUCGGCCACGACCUACCUAAACACCUAAGUCUCUAGUCCAGGUUUAUCGCCUAUCCAGGUUCCAUCCGCAGGGAGUCCAGCCGAGGUUUCCACAUACGGCCCUGAACGAUGUGUACAGGGUUCCCGAGAUACCUAACGGGUAUCUGGUACACCGUGCCAUGUACCUACCGCAUCACAGCCCACCCCUACGGUCAGCGCUGUCCACGGCCUCCAGUAGGCUACAAACACCAGAAACUACUUGCAACUCCUAGACAGAGGACUAGGGUGAAUAAGAAGCCAAGAGGGUCCAUUGGUUUCGGGCCCAAUGCAUGGUAGUAGCUGAUUCUUAAAUCACACAUACAGAUCUCAGUGCUUAAGGACGGCUUCAAUGAAACAACCCACCAUGUACUCCUACAUGGCCUUUCAUCGAUACCUUUACCAAAUCGUGUUCACCACAUCACUCUCAUUACCGGCAUGAUCAUUUCACUCUAGCCCAUCACCCAGAUGAACCAGACCUGACUCGACUCUAAGCAUAGCAGGCAUAGCAAGGUAGGAACAACACAUACAUAUGGCUCAAUCAACUCCUACACAUGCUAGUGGGUUUCAUCUAGUUACUAUGGCAAUGACAGGUCAUGCAGAGGAAAUGGGUUCAACUACCGUAGCACACAGCAGUUUGAAACGUGUUGUCUUAAUGCAGUAAAAGAGAGCAUAAGGAGAACAUGGGAUUGUAUCGAUAUGAUUAAAUGGUUGGUUGCUUGCCUGAUGGGUCGAUGCACUGAUAUUGUUCUUCGUUGGGGUAAUCAUGAUACUCCUCAGGGGCAGGACCUGCCGCAGAGAGCACCGAUACACAACAUCACCAAACAGUAUGCAGCAAUAUGAUGCAUGCAUGAAACAUGGCAAUAUGAGUGUGUUGGGCGAAUGCAACUAAAACCAGAUGGGUUUGAACCAUUUUGAAUCAAAGAUUCAAGUUUCAAACUCAUACAUGGCCCUUAUAAGGUGCUUUAACUUGUUCUGCAAUAAACAGUAGGUUAGCUUGUUUAAACAUGCAUGAAACUUGUACAGGUGGAUAGAUUGGAUUUUUCUGAUCAUUUUUCAUAUAUAACACUUUGCAUUUGGAGUUAUGGUUGAUUUACUAUGAAUUUUUGAAGUUUGGGGGAUUUUCUGGAAUUUAUAAAUCAUUCUAGAUUUAUUUUAAUUCCAGAAAAGGAUUACUGCGUCAGCAUGAUGUCAUGCUGACCUCAGCAGGUCAACAGGCCGGUCCAGGUCAAACUGACCAGUGGGUCCCGCAUGUCAGCACAAUUAGUUUAGCUAAAAAUUAAUUAGAACUAAACCGGAUUAGUUAACAGGGCUGGGGGUUCUGUCAUCCCCAUUUCAAGUUUCUGAUGGACAUUUUGGAAGGGCAUUUCAGGUUCAUUGAAAAUAUUUUUAGUAAACCCUAGUUGGAUUCAGAGGGGGCUGGGGGUUCUGUCAUCCCCAUUUCAAGUUUCUGAUGAAAGAAUAGACAUGAUGCAACACUCUAAUGCAUGAACUAGCUAGGGUGUGACACCGGUUGUAGAUAACUUGACACCAGAUCCGAAUUAAAACGCAUCAACCGCGUGUGUAGCCGUGAUGGUCUCUUUUCGGUGGAGUCCGGGAACUGAACACGGUUUUGGGUUAUGUUUGACGUAAGUAGGAGUUCAGGAUCACUUCUUGAUCAUUGCUAGCUCCACGACCGUUCCAUUUGCUCUCUUCUCGCUCUUAUUUGCGUAUGUUAGCCACCAUAUCUUUCUUAGUCGCUGUUGCAACCUCACCACUUUACCCCUUCCUUUCCCUUUAAGCUUUGCUAGUCUUGAUACCCAUGGUAAUGGGAUUGCUGAGUCCUCGUGGCUCACAGAUUACUACAACAACAGUUGCAGGUACAGGUUAUGCGAUGAUCAUGACGCAAGAGCGAUGCUUGCUUGUUUUGGAGUUCUUCUUCUGCUUCUUCUUUGAUCAGGAGAUAGGUUCCAGGUCGGCAGCCUGGGCUAGCAGGGUGGAUGUCGUUUGAGUUUUUGUUUGUGAUUCAUCCGUAGUCGGAUGAUGCUCUUAUGUAUUGUGAUGUUGUAUUCGUGUGGCAUUGUAUACCUCUUGUAUGUAUCCCCAUCUAUUAUGUAAUGUUGAUGUAAUGCUAUCCACCUUGCAAAAGUGUUUCAAUAUGCGGUUCUAUCCUUGGUGGGACCUUCUAGUCUCUUUAGGAUAGUAUCGCAUAUUGGGCGUGACAUUAUGUUGUUGUCCUUUGGUGCCCAUCA